GAUGAACGCUGGCGGCGUGCCUAAUACAUGCAAGUCGAGCGAACAGACGAGGAGCUUGCUCCUUUGACGUUAGCGGCGGACGGGUGAGUAACACGUGGGUAACCUACCUAUAAGACUGGGAUAACUUCGGGAAACCGGAGCUAAUACCGGAUAAUAUUUCGAACCGCAUGGUUCGAUAGUGAAAGAUGGCUCUGCUAUCACUUAUAGAUGGACCUGCGCCGGAUUAGCUAGUUGGUAAGGUAACGGCUUACCAAGGCAACGAUACGUAGCCGACCUGAGAGGGUGAUCGGCCACACUGGAACUGAGACACGGUCCAGACUCCUACGGGAGGCAGCAGUAGGGAAUCUUCCGCAAUGGGCGAAAGCCUGACGGAGCAACGCCGCGUGAGUGAUGAAGGUCUUCGGAUCGUAAAACUCUGUUAUUAGGGAAGAACAAAAGUGUAAGUAACUGUGCACGUCUUGACGGUACCUAAUCAGAAAGCCACGGCUAACUACGUG
rnacentral:rRNA from 1 species